rnacentral:rRNA from 1 species
AUUGAACGCUGGCGGCAUGCCUUACACAUGCAAGUCGAACGGCAGCACGGGAGCAAUCCUGGUGGCGAGUGGCGAACGGGUGAGUAAAGUAUCGGAACGUGCCCAGUCGUGGAGGAUAACGUAGCGAAAGUUACGCUAAUACCGCAUACGAUCUAUGGAUGAAAGCGGGGGAUCGCAAGACCUCGCGCGAUUGGAGCGGCCGAUAUCAGAUUAGGUAGUUGGUGGGGUAAAGGCUUACCAAGCCGACGAUCUGUAGCUGGUCUGCGAGGACGACCAGCCACACUGGGACUGAGACACGGCCACGACGCCGACGGGAGGCAGCAGUGGGGAAUUGUGGACAAUGGGCGAAGGCCUGAUCCAGCCGUGCCGCGGGCAGGAUGAAGGCCUUCGGGUUGUAAACUGCUUUUGUACGGAACGAAAAGGUUUGGCCUAAUAAGCUGAGCUCAUGACGGUACCGUAAGAAUAAGCACCGGCUAACUACGUGCCAGCAGCCGCCGUAA